rnacentral:rRNA from 1 species
UGNGCUGGCGGAAUGCUUUCACAUGCAANUCGAACGGCAGCACGGACUUCGGUCUGGUGGCGAGUGGCGAACGGGUGAGUAACAUAUCGGAACGUAUCCAAUAAUGGGGGAUAACGAGUCGAAAGAUUCGCUAAUACCGCAUACGCCCUACGGGGGAAAGCUAGGGACCUUCGGGCCUGGCGUUAAUGGAGCGGCCGAUAUCUGAUUAGCUAGUUGGUGAGGUAAAGGCUCACCAAGGCGACGAUCAGUAGCUGGUCUGAGAGGACGACCAGCCACACUGGAACUGAGACACGGUCCAGACUCCUACGGGAGGCAGCAGUGGGGAAUUUUGGACAAUGGGCGCAAGCCUGAUCCAGCCAUUCCGCGUGAGUGAAGAAGGCCUUCGGGUUGUAAAGCUCUUUCGCAAGGGAAGAAAACUUACCCUCUAACAUAGGGUGAGGUUGACGGUACCUUGAUAAGAAGCACCGGCUAACUACGUGCCAGCAGCCGCGGUAAUACGUAGGGUGCGAGCGUUAAUCGGAAUUACUGGGCGUAAAGCGUGCGCAGGCGGCUUUGUAAGUCAGAUGUGAAAUCCCCGAGCUCAACUUGGGAACUGCGUUUGAAACUACAAGGCUAGAAUAUGUCAGAGGGGGGUAGAA